rnacentral:tRNA from 1 species
CCAUGUCGGCGGUCACGGCGUUGACUUCUUGUAUGCCGUUGCCGUGCACCAAGAAAUACUGGUUUUUCGUGGUGGUCUGUUCGAUACGGAUGAUGUCGCCCA